GGUUAAGCGACUAAGCGUACACGGUGGAUGCCCUGGCAGUCAGAGGCGAUGAAGGACGUGCUAAUCUGCGAAAAGCGUCGGUAAGGUGAUAUGAACCGUUAUAGCCGGCGAUGUCCGAAUGGGGAAACCCAGUGCAAUUCGUUGCACUAUCGUUAACUGAAUACAUAGGUUAACGAGGCGAACCGGGGGAACUGAAACAUCUAAGUACCCCGAGGAAAAGAAAUCAACCGAGAUUCCCCCAGUAGCGGCGAGCGAACGGGGAGCAGCCCGGAGUCUGAAUCAGCUUGUGUGUUAGUGGAAGCGUCUGGAAAGUCGCAGGGUACAGGGUGAUACUCCCGUACACUAAAACACACAGGUUGUGAACUCGAAGAGUAGGGCGGGACACGUGGUAUCCUGUCUGAAUAUGGGGGGACCAUCCUCCAAGGCUAAAUACUCCUGACUGACCGAUAGUGAACCAGUACCGUGAGGGAAAGGCGAAAAGAACCCCGGCGAGGGGAGUGAAAAAGAACCUGAAACCGUGUACGUACAAGCAGUAGGAGCCCACUAGUUGGGUGACUGCGUACCUUUUGUAUAAUGGGUCAGCGACUUAUAUUCUGUAGCAAGGUUAACCGUAUAGGGGAGCCGCAGGGAAACCGAGUCUUAACUGGGCGUUAAGUUGCAGGGUAUAGACCCGAAACCCGGUGAUCUAGCCAUGGGCAGGUUGAAGGUUGGGUAACACUAACUGGAGGACCGAACCGACUAAUGUUGAAAAAUUAGCGGAUGACUUGUGGCUGGGGGUGAAAGGCCAAUCAAACCGGGAGAUAGCUGGUUCUCCCCGAAAGCUAUUUAGGUAGCGCCUCGUGAAUUCAUCUUCGGGGGUAGAGCACUGUUUCGGCUAGGGGGUCAUCCCGACUUACCAACCCGAUGCAAACUACGAAUACCGAAGAAUGUUAUCACGGGAGACACACGGCGGGUGCUAACGUCCGUCGUGAAGAGGGAAACAACCCAGACCGCCAGCUAAGGUCCCAAAGUCAUGGUUAAGUGGGAAACGAUGUGGGAAGGCCCAGACAGCCAGGAUGUUGGCUUAGAAGCAGCCAUCAUUUAAAGAAAGCGUAAUAGCUCACUGGUCGAGUCGGCCUGCGCGGAAGAUGUAACGGGGCUAAACCAUGCACCGAAGCUGCGGCAGCGACACUAUGUGUUGUUGGGUAGGGGAGCGUUCUGUAAGCCGUUGAAGGUGGCCUGUGAGGGUUGCUGGAGGUAUCAGAAGUGCGAAUGCUGACAUAAGUAACGAUAAUGCGGGUGAAAAACCCGCACGCCGGAAGACCAAGGGUUCCUGUCCAACGUUAAUCGGGGCAGGGUGAGUCGACCCCUAAGGCGAGGCCGAAAGGCGUAGUCGAUGGGAAACAGGUUAAUAUUCCUGUACUCGGUGUUACUGCGAAGGGGGGACGGAGAAGGCUAUGUUGGCCGGGCGACGGUUGUCCCGGUUUAAGCAUGUAGGCGGAUGUUCCAGGUAAAUCCGGAACGUUAUUAACGCUGAGGUGUGAUGACGAGGCACUACGGUGCUGAAGUGACAAAUGCCCUGCUUCCAGGAAAAGCCUCUAAGCAUCAGGUAACAUCAAAUCGUACCCCAAACCGACACAGGUGGUCAGGUAGAGAAUACCAAGGCGCUUGAGAGAACUCGGGUGAAGGAACUAGGCAAAAUGGUGCCGUAACUUCGGGAGAAGGCACGCUGAUGGUAGGUGAAGCGACUUGCUCGUGGAGCUGAAAUCAGUCGAAGAUACCAGCUGGCUGCAACUGUUUAUUAAAAACACAGCACUGUGCAAACACGAAAGUGGACGUAUACGGUGUGACGCCUGCCCGGUGCCGGAAGGUUAAUUGAUGGGGUUAUCCGUAAGGAGAAGCUCUUGAUCGAAGCCCCGGUAAACGGCGGCCGUAACUAUAACGGUCCUAAGGUAGCGAAAUUCCUUGUCGGGUAAGUUCCGACCUGCACGAAUGGCGUAAUGAUGGCCAGGCUGUCUCCACCCGAGACUCAGUGAAAUUGAACUCGCUGUGAAGAUGCAGUGUACCCGCGGCAAGACGGAAAGACCCCGUGAACCUUUACUAUAGCUUGACACUGAACACUGGUCCUUGAUGUGUAGGAUAGGUGGGAGGCUUUGAAGUGUGGACGCCAGUCUGCAUGGAGCCAUCCUUGAAAUACCACCCUUUAAUGGCUGGUGUUCUAACGUGGGCCCCUAAUCGGGGUUGCGGACAGUGUCUGGUGGGUAGUUUGACUGGGGCGGUCUCCUCCUAAAGAGUAACGGAGGAGCACGAAGGUCAGCUAAUCCUGGUCGGACAUCAGGAGGUUAGUGCAAUGGCAUAAGCUGGCUUGACUGCGAGCGUGACGGCGCGAGCAGGUGCGAAAGCAGGUCAUAGUGAUCCGGUGGUUCUGAAUGGAAGGGCCAUCGCUCAACGGAUAAAAGGUACUCCGGGGAUAACAGGCUGAUACCGCCCAAGAGUUCAUAUCGACGGCGGUGUUUGGCACCUCGAUGUCGGCUCAUCACAUCCUGGGGCUGAAGUAGGUCCCAAGGGUAUGGCUGUUCGCCAUUUAAAGUGGUACGCGAGCUGGGUUUAGAACGUCGUGAGACAGUUCGGUCCCUAUCUGCCGUGGGCGCUGGAGAAUUGAGGGGGGCUGCUCCUAGUACGAGAGGACCGGAGUGGACGCAUCACUGGUGUUCGGGUUGUCAUGCCAAUGGCAUUGCCCGGUAGCUAAAUGCGGAAGAGAUAAGUGCUGAAAGCAUCUAAGCACGAAACUUGCCCCGAGAUGAGUUCUCCCUGACUCCUUGAGAGUCCUGAAGGAACGUUGAAGACGACGACGUUGAUAGGCCGGGUGUGUAAGCGCAGCGAUGCGUUGAGCUAACCGGUACUAAUGAACCGUGAGGCUUAACCUU
rnacentral:rRNA from 1 species